UACGUUCUUGGUCUGACCAUCAUUCUUCCCAACAUUAAGUUUAUUUUUCAUACAACUGAACUGUAAAUGACUGACCUCUCCACAGUUACAGCACUGUCUUCUUCGCUCACUCCAAGGCGAUCUAUUAAACUUUUCCAUAGGGUUCAUUCAUUUCGGUGGACUAGGACUAGGCAAUUUAGAUUGCAGAUGGCCUGCUGGGCUGAGAGGUCAUUUGUUUGCCGAAGGCCAUCUCAGGAUUUCAGAAAUGAAGUGGGAUGUGACAUGAACAUCUGCUAGGCCUGCUAACUCAAAAAUAAAACAACCUUGCACAUGUGACCAAGGAAAACAUGGAAGGAAACCAGUCUGUCUCCAUUACACUGAAUGGGGGAGAACUUUCAAGAACUGAAGAGUUCUGUAUGGGCAGCAGGACCCUGCAAACACAAGGGAUAACUAGACAAGGCGAUUAUUUCAGGGAUUGUUUUCCCACAUGUACUUUUCUCCAUUCAUUUUACUUAUGAAGUAUUGAAUGAACCUUCUAUCCUUUAUGCAAAACGUUUUGGGUAUAAUGUAGAACCGCACCUAAUCGUUACUCUGGUUUCAGACCUCUUUAUUUAGAAACCUUCAUAACUGACCCCUGGCUCACUGAAAUUUUUCAAUCGUUAAAGUAAGUUGGUUCAUGUUCUCUUUUUAAGUGAAUUUCAGCCAGAUAUUAAGCAAACUCUGAAUGAUUUAUGUAUCGCUGACAAAACCAUCUGCAGCUGAUGACCUUGCAUAUUUUCCACAAAGAAGCAAAACACAGUUUCAGAUGAGAUUGGUUUUCAGCUUGGAGAGCCAUUUCAAAGCCAUUUUCUGCACAGCCACAAAAAGAAUCUUUCCAGCAGGCAUUGAAAAGAUAUCAGGUAAACUGGUUAGAACAACUCCAUUUUCAGCACCCAGAUAUGACACUGCAUUCAUAGCAGUGUCUUGGAUGUGUUUGGCGCAUACAGGCAUUGUUCACAGCAAGCCCAGGCUCCAUAUGUUGGAAUCUGGCCUGAGGACCACACACAUUGUUCCACUUUUCCACCCUUCUUCCACUCUUUGGCAGCCUUU